rnacentral:rRNA from 1 species
CAGCAGCCGCGGGAAUACGUAGGUGGCAAGCGUUGUCCGGAAUUAUUGGGCGUAAAGGGCUCGCAGGCGGUUUCCUAAGUCUGAUGUGAAAGCCCCCGGCUCAACCGGGGAGGGUCAUUGGAAACUGGGAAACUUGAGUGCAGAAGAGGAGAGUGGAAUUCCACGUGUAGCGGUGAAAUGCGUAGAGAUGUGGAGGAACACCAGUGGCGAAGGCGACUCUCUGGUCUGUAACUGACGCUGAGGAGCGAAAGCGUGGGGAGCGAACAGGAUUAGAUACCCCGGUAGUCCCUGUCUCUUAUAC